CAAUUAUUGGUCGCGCAACGAGGAAUGUCUCGUAGGCGCAGCUCAUCAAACUGUGCCGAUUACGUCCCUGCCAUUUGUACACACCGCCCGUCGUUGUUUCCGAUGAUGGUGCAAUACAGGUGAUCGGACAGUCGAGUGCUUCACUUGACCGAAAGUUCACCGAUAUUUCUUCAAUAGAGGAAGCAAAAGUCGUAACAAGGUAGCUGUAGGUGAACCUGCAGCUGGAUCAUUU
rnacentral:ncRNA from 1 species